CAGUCGACGAUGAAGCCGCUUCGGUGGUGGAUUAGUGGCGAACGGGUGAGUAACACGUGGGCAAUCUGCCCUGCACUCUGGGACAAGCCCUGGAAACGGGGUCUAAUACCGGAUACAACCACUGGGGGCAUCUCUUGGUGGUGGAAAGCUCCGGCGGUGCAGGAUGAGCCCGCGGCCUAUCAGCUAGUCGGUGGGGUAAUGGCCUACCGAGGCGACGACGGGUAGCCGGCCUGAGAGGGCGACCGGCCACACUGGGACUGAGACACGGCCCAGACUCCUACGGGAGGCAGCAGUGGGGAAUAUUGCACAAUGGGCGCAAGCCUGAUGCAGCGACGCCGCGUGAGGGAUGACGGCCUUCGGGUUGUAAACCUCUUUCAGCAGGGAAGAAGCGAAAGUGACGGUACCUGCAGAAGAAGCGCCGGCUAACUACGUGCCAGCAGCCGCGGUAAUACGUAGGGCGCAAGCGUUGUCCGGAAUUAUUGGGCGUAAAGAGCUCGUAGGCGGCUUGUCGCGUCGGUUGUGAAAGCCCGGGGCUUAACCCCGGGUCUGCAGUCGAUACGGGCAGGCUAGAGUUCGGUAGGGGAGAUCGGAAUUCCUGGUGUAGCGGUGAAAUGCGCAGAUAUCAGGAGGAACACCGGUGGCGAAGGCGA
rnacentral:rRNA from 1 species